CACCCACGAGGGCGGGUGGACCGUCGACCAAAUUCCUCUCGAGCAUCUGGUCGCUCCGGGAGUGAAAAUCGACAUCCGUGAGAAAGCGGAGAAUGACCCCGCCGCGGAACUGACCCCGGAUGACCUCAUGGCCUGGCUGGACGACCACGGCCCACUUCCGGACGGGGUCGUUGUCUUCGUCUACACGGGAUGGGGAAGCAGGUACGGCAACAAAACGGCGUAUUUCGGGACGGACUCCAACGACACGUCAAAGUGGGCGUUCCCGGGUGAGGUUAACAGCUGGUUCUCCUGUUACGUUCAUGUCUGUUUGUCUUUGUUUGUUUGUUUUGUUUAGAU